AAUUACAGGCGGGAGCCACUGCACCCGGCCAAAUUUGGCAGUAUCUUAAAUAACUAAAUAUACAAUAACCAUAUGACCCCCUGCACUCUUGGGGAAUUAUACAGAGAAAUGAAGACUUAUGUUGACACAAAAGCCGUACACAAAUGUUUAUAGUAGUUUGAUAUGAAAUAGCCAAAACCAAAACAACCUAUAUGUUCUUCAAGGGGUGAAUGGUUCAACAACCUGCAAUGCAUCCAUACCAUGCACUACUACUCAGAUAUAAAAAGGAAUAAAGUAGCUCUUCUGUUUCUCCGAGUGGGUCGGGCCGGGGUUUCUCCGCUUCUUCACGGUGUUCUGCAGUCUCCUGUGGCCACCAUGAGCACUGGCACCUUCGUUGUGUCGCAGCCGCUCAAUUAUCAUGGCAGGACCCACGUGGAGCCGGCGGAUGCUUCUGGCACGGAGAAGGCUUUCGAGCCGGCAACCGGCUGAGGGAUAGCUACUUUCCCAUGUUCAGGAGAAAAGGAAGUAAAUUUGACUGUUCAGAGUGCAAAGGCUGCUUUUAAAAUAUGGAGUCUAAAAUCUGGUAUGGAGCAUUGCUGAAUCCUUUUGGAGGCUGCCAGAAUAGUAAGGGAACGGAAGGAUGAAAUUGCCACUGUGGAAUGCAUCAACAACAGCAAGUCCAUCUUUGAGGCCUGCUUGGACAUCAACACUGCCUGACAGUGCCUGGAGUAUUUUGCAGGAUUGGCUGCGUCCAUGGCUGGUGAACACAUCCAGCUCCCAGGCGGAUCCUUUGGUUAUACCACAAGAGAACCACUUGGGGUGUGUGUGGGAAUAGGAGUGUGGAACUACCCCUUUCAGAUCACCUCUUGGAAGUCAGCUCCUGUGUUAGCCUGUGGUAAUGCCAUGGUCUUCAAACCUUCUCCCUUUACACCUGUUUCUGCAUUGCUACUGGCUGAAAUCUACACUGAGGCUGCUGUGCCUCCUGGGCUCUUCAAUGUGGUGCAGGGCGGGGCUGCCACUGGCCAGUUUCUGUGUCAGCAUCAUGAUGUGGCCCAAGUCUCCUUCACUGGAAGUGUGCCCACUGGCAUGAAGAUCAUGGAGAUGGCAUCUAAAGGAGUCAAACCUGUUACCUAGGAACUUGGAGGCAAAUCUCCACUCAUCAUCUUCUCAGACUGUGAUAUUAACAAUGCUGUGAAGGGGGCGCUGAUGGCCAACUUCCUCACACAAGGCCAGGUUUGCUGUAAUGGCACAAGAUAUUUGUGCAGAAAGAAAUUCUUGAUAAAUUUACAGAGGAAGUGGUGAAACAGACCCAAAGGAUUAAAACUGGAGAUCCCCUUCUGGAAGACACAAGGAUGGGUCCACUCAUCAACCGACCACACCUGGAGCGAGUCCUUGGGUUUGUUAAAGUGGCAAAGGAGCAGGGUGCUAAAGUGUUAUGUGUUGGAGAUAUAUAUGCACCUCAAGAUCCCAAAUUAAAGGAUGGAUACUACAUGAGACCUUGUGUAUUAACUAAUUGCAGAGAUGACAUGACCUGUGUGAAAGAAGAGAUCUUUCGGCCUGUUAUGUCUAUUUUACCAUUUGAGACUAAAGCUGAGGUUCUAGAAAGAGCCAAUGAUACCACUUUUGGACUAGCAGCUGGCGUCUUUACCAGGGACAUCCAGCGGGCUCAUAGAGCGGUAGCUGAGCUUCAGGCUGGAACCUGCUUCAUUAACAACUAUAACGUCAGUCCAGUGAAGUUGCCCUUUGGUGGAUAUAAGAAGUCAGGAUUUGGCAGAGAGAACGGCUGUGUGACAAUUGAAUAUUAUUCACAACUGAAGACUGUGUGUAUGGAGAUGGGUGAUGUGGAAUCUGCUUUUUGAAAACCUGCAGUGAAACCUGUUGACAUGGCCAGGCUGUGGAAUGAUGCAGUCGGUCCUGUUGACAGAGGCAGUGCAACUAAAUGCCAUUUUAAAUCCAGAAUUUUGGCAUUCAAGAUAAGAGAAUGGUUCAUGUUACUCUUUUUCACUAAAUCAGCUUCCUCAUUGAAAAUGUGCCUAAGUGCCUUCAUCAAGAAAGUUGUGAUAUUCCUCAGAGUAUAUUUUUGUGAACUCUUUAAGUACCAGUAAUGUACUUCUAGGGAAUAGGAAAGGGGACUAUACAUCUUCCACACAUUUGGCCAGUUGACAUUGUUAAUUCUCUGGCGUUUUUCAAGGAACUUGGUCCUGGCUGAUUCAAGUGCAGUGGUAUUUACAACUGAUUUCAGCCAGUUUGUAGAUUUCUUUGUUCCUUCUCCAUUCUCACUUCUUCACUUGACUAGUCUUGGGGAAAAAAAAAAAAAAACUUUUUUUGUAGGUUCCUGGUAGAAUCAGUAGAGAUGGUUUCAGUUUACUGACAUUUUUUAAAACUAUAUUUCCCUUGUCAUUCUAUUGUGAAAGCUGACAACCAGGAUAGAGAGGGGAUUAGAUAAUAGACGGGUCAAAUUCUGUGUGAAACAUUAAUUUGCCUAGUAAGCGUUUUGUCUCUGUUCACUACUGUGAUGGGAAACCUAUCUCCCUAUCUUGGGUCCUUGAACUACAGCGUGCUGUCUUACACCAGCAGAGCUACGCUUUAAAUGUACAAAUUACUUGUAUGCCAAUGUAAUAUAGUGAAAUUAAAACAAAUCACACUGUUAAAAAAAAAAA